CUGAAAGUCCAAAAAUGGUGUAUUUGCUGCUCUCGGAAACCUUCCUUUUACUCUAACUCAUAGAUCUGCAUUUCUUCGCACAGGUGAAACUGCCAGCUAUCAAUUCCAAGAACUCAAGCAAAGCGGGGACCCCGGUCAACAACAAAGACUCCGAUAAGAGCAGGCUGUCGUUGCCUCCUAUGCCGGGUCCAAAAACUGGUUCACCCACAAACUUUUCCAAACUUAUCAGCAAUGGCUACAAGGACGAGUGGUUACAGCAGCAGAAGGCUGAUUCUGACAGGAGGACUCCAAAGACAUCCGAGGCAUCCGUGUCCACCCAGUCCACA
rnacentral:lncRNA from 1 species